CUUUGUCCAAUAGGAACAGCUCGUGGUGCACCUUGUUGUACACCUCGAUGCUUAAGUAAAACAGAGAGAGAGCUUUGGACUUACCCCUGAAAUCUAGCACUUUAUAUUUUAGCAGCAAACUUUUCUGUUUCUGUGGAAGUCAAAGGCGCAGUUUUGAAGAUGCUCUGUGCCUUUUUGCGUCUGAAGUUGUGAAGUGCAAGAGGGGGCAAAGGAGUAUUUUUUUAACACGUCUGAGUUUCCUUUUUCUUUUUUUUCUGUCUUUAAUCAAAGCCUGCGACAUUUUUACAGCCGAGUGGUCGUUGGAGAGCAACCUGGUGACUUUCAGCGAUGGCUGGAUGCUGUCUUUCAGCGGAGGAGAGAGAGAACCAGAGGAUCAACGAGGAGAUUGAGAAGCAGCUGCGGAGGGACAAGAAGGACUCUCGCAGGGAGCUCAAGUUGCUGCUUUUAGGCACUGGAGAGAGUGGAAAGAGCACCUUUAUCAAACAAAUGAGGAUUAUCCAUGGAGGAGGAUAUACAGACGAGGACAAGAGGAGCUAUGCCAAGCUGGUGUACCAGAACAUCUACACGUCCAUGCAGACAAUGGUCCGAGCUAUGGAGGCUCUUGGUAUAUCUUUCACUGAUCCCCAGAACCAGAGCCAUGCCAGCGCAGUCCUGGAGGUGGAGGUGGAUAAGGUGGAGGACUUAGAUAGCAACCUCGCCAUGGCUGUCAAGAGUCUGUGGGGUGAUCCUGGAAUACAGGAGUGCUAUGAUCGGCGCAGGGAGUACCAGCUGUCCGACUCCACCAAAUACUAUCUCACAGAUCUGGAUCGGAUUUCACAGCCCUCAUACAUACCUGACCUUCAGGACAUCCUCAGAGUCCGAGUCCCAACCACUGGUAUCAUUGAAUACCCCUUUGACAUGGAGAAUGUCAUUUUCAGGAUGGUUGAUGUGGGUGGUCAAAGAUCAGAGCGGAGAAAGUGGAUCCACUGCUUUGAGAACGUCACCUCCAUCAUUUUCUUGGUGGCACUCAGCGAAUACGAUCAGGUCCUGGCUGAGUGCGACAAUGAGAACCGCAUGGAGGAGAGCAAGGCCCUGUUCAAGACCAUCAUCACCUACCCCUGGUUCCAGCGCUCAUCUGUCAUACUUUUCCUCAACAAGACCGACAUCCUCAAGGAGAAGAUCUUGUACUCUCACAUAUCCACCUACUUCCCUGAAUUCACAGGUUAGACUGAGUGAAUGCUCAUCUUGAUUUCAGCUCUUAUUCCACCACAAGAUUUGUAAUUACUUAGCUGAUCUAAUUAAGUCCUUCAUCAUACAAUCGCUGCACGGUACUCAUUUUUAUGGAAGUGUUGAAAUAGACUAAAAAUACUCAACUGACACUAUAUUAGGUACACUGUGCUGGUACCAGGUUGAACCUCCUUUACCAUCAGAAUUAGUUUAAUUCUUCAUGGCUGAGAUUUAAAAGGGAGCUGAAAACAUUCAGCAGGAAUUUUGGUCCACAUUGGCAAUCAUUAGUCUAAGCUCCGCCCCUCCCUCCUUGAUACAAGCCCACAAGAAAGUCACCAAAUUUGUUCUGCAUUAAAAAUCCAUAAUUUGUUCAAAAUAAAAUAACUGAUUGUUGUUGUUUUUUUAAACACAUUUUUAAUCUUUAAGUAUCAAGACUUAGAAUUUCAGUUUUGGUUUGGUGUUUUUGGCUGACAAGAGGUCUAACCAUGUGUGGUCUUCUGCUGCUGUAGACCAUCUGCUUCAGAAGAUGCUCUUCUGCAUACCUUGGUUGAAAUGAGUAGUUAAUUACCAUUAGUUACUAUAUCAUCGUGUCUGGUCAUUCUCCUCUGACCUCUGUGAGGACUGCUACUCACAGAUCAUCUUUCACUUUCAGACUAUUCACUGUAAACACUACAGAUGGUUGUGUCUCAGUAAAUUUGAAAUACUCAGACCAGCCUGUUUGGUACCAACAUUUAAAGUCACUUAAAUCACUUUUCUUCCCCAUUCUGAUGCUCAGUUUGAACUUCAGCAGGUCGUAAAAUGCAUCGAGUUCCUGUCAUGUAAUUGGCAGAUUAGAUAUUUGCAUUAACAAGCAGUUGAACAAGUCUACCCAAUCAAGUGUCUGGUGAGCGUAUGUUGAAUUUACUGACAUA